rnacentral:rRNA from 1 species
UACGGAGGGUGCGAGCGUUGUCCGGAAUCACUGGGCGUAAAGGGCGCGUAGGCGGCGCGGGUAGUCAUCGGUGAAAGUUCAGGGCUCAACUCUGAAUCGGCCGGUGAUACUCCCGUGCUCGAGCAGCUGUAGAGGCAGGUGGAAUUCCGGGUGUAGCGGAUGGAAUGCGUAGAGAUCCGGAAGAACACCGGUGGCGAAGGCGGCCUGCUGGGCUAUGGCUGACACUGAGGCACGGAGAGCAUGGGGGAGCAAACAGGG